AUUGAACGCUGGCGGCAGGCCUAACACAUGCAAGUCGAGCGAGCGGCGGACGGGUGAGUAAUGUAUGGGGACUGCCCGAUAGAGGGGGAUAACUACUGGAAACGGUAGCUAAUACCGCAUACUAUCGGAUAACCCAUAUGGGAUUAGCUAGUAGGUGAGGUAAUGGCUCACCUAGGCGACGAUCCCGAGCUGGUCUGAGAGGAGGAUCAGCCACACGGGGAAUGAGACACGGCCCAGACUCCGACGGAGGCAGCAGUGGGGAAUCUUGCACAAUGGGCGCAAGCCUGAUGCAGCCAUGCCGCGUGUAUUAAGAAGGCCCUAGGGGUGUAAAGUACUUGCAGUCGUGAGGCGUGACCGACAGAAGAAGCACCGGCUAACUCCGUGCCAGCAGCCGCGGUAAUUC
rnacentral:rRNA from 1 species